rfam:Toxocara canis scaffold434, whole genome shotgun sequence.
CGGGCAGUAGCUCAAUGGUAGAACACCCGCUUCGUAUAUGGGAAGACCUGGGUUCGAUUCCCUGCUGUACCC